UGGGGAAUUUUGGACAAUGGGCGAAAGCCUGAUCCAGCAAUGCCGCGUGUGUGAAGAAGGCCUUCGGGUUGUAAAGCACUUUUGUCCGGAAAGAAAUCCUUGGCUCUAAUACAGUCGGGGGAUGACGGUACCGGAAGAAUAAGCACCGGCUAACUACGUGCCAGCAGCCGCGGUAAUACGUAGGGUGCAAGCGUUAAUCGGAAUUACUGGGCGUAAAGCGUGCGCAGGCGGUUUGCUAAGACCGAUGUGAAAUCCCCGGGCUCAACCUGGGAACUGCAUUGGUGACUGGCAGGCUAGAGUAUGGCAGAGGGGGGUAGAAUUCCACGUGUAGCAGUGAAAUGCGUAGAGAUGUGGAGGAAUACCGAUGGCGAAAGGCAGCCCCCCUUGGGGCCAAAUACUGACGCUCAUGCACGAAAAGCGUGGGGAGCAAACAGGAUUAGAUACCCUGGUAGUCCACGCCCUAAAACGAUGUCAACUAGUUGUUGGGGAUUCAUUUCCUAGUAACGUAGCUAACGCGUGAAGUUGACCGCCUGGGGAGUACGGUCGCAAGAUUAAAACUCAAAUGAAUUGACGGGGUCAUAGCUG
rnacentral:rRNA from 1 species